UGUGAAGGAGAGCUGUAUAUCUAGAGAGCCUUCACCAGUUGAGUGAGUGCUAGUGCUCUUUCUGUAUAUGACUAUUGGCCUACCUUGUUCUCAUAGAAGACAAUUGAGAUGUGAAGUACAGCAUUGCAGUCUUCGUGUGAGGAUGGUUACAUCCAGAUGCUGUUCCAUCCAUACACCUGAGCUUUGCUCACACAGGCUACAGGUGGGAUUCCCUUGAGACUCAGCAGCUGAGGAGCAUGCUUCAAUUCUUCCACAUCAGCCAAAUACUUAGAGAUUUAGCAGAGCAUAUAUCAGUAACUGGAGGAAGGUCCCAGAGUUUUACUGUUUAUUUCUGCAAAAGUUACAGCGGUGACAACCUAUCUGAAGCACAACAAAGCAUCAUAAUCUCAUUGUAAAACAUUUGUGGGAUGCCAUAAGAAGCCUAGAGGUAGUGUAGUAUCGCGCAGUAUCUUUCCAUAAAGGUAUUGUUUGUUUUUGAUGGGGAGUUGUAGAAUUGCUGAAAUUAGUGGAGUGAAAGGCUUUUCUGUGCCUGUCUAACAGAACUGAGAAAUAUGAAAGCUUCAAAUAGCUCUUUUACAAGCUGCUUUCAAGCCUGAAAUAGAGCCUAGUCUUGAGGGGAGGGGAAACAAGCAUCCUGAUUCCAUCAGAUGUCAAUUUUUAGUUCUGUGGUCCCUUUAAUAACAAGCCCAGUGGAAAAAAAGGGAAAGUUGAAUGAAUACAUUUUUUUUGACAUUUUGUUUAUUAGUAUUUUAUCUAGGCUAGUAGUAAAUGAAUAGACUUGUCAGCAGAAAUCUCUUGGUGAAACAAAUAAAGAAUCUUAAUAGGCAGAGAGAACAGAACUAACAGCAAAUUGCUCACAAAGAGCUCUAAUUUAUUGGUUUCCUUUUCAUGAAGAUCCUGUUCUGGAUUCUGGCUUUGCCAGAAGAAACAGCUGAAUGACUAUAUGAAUUGUCAGAAAGAAACUGCUGUGAGAAAGGGGAAGACUUGAGGAAAGUCUAUUGCUGUUAACACUUUCCUCAAAAUAUUUUUUUUCUACGGAGUAAAAAGUUUUCUUGGUUUGAUUUAAGCAAUUCUAUGGAAGUAAAUUUUCUUUGAAUUGAAUUUCCUUUUCCAUUGUUACACUCUGAACCUUUACUGCUGUAAAGUGACUUUGUCAGCACCUAAUUCCAAAGUAGACCCCUCAAAAAAUCAAAGAGGAGAAAAAUGCAGAAAUAUGAUUGUCUAAAAGUUAAAAUAUUUUGAAUUCAGUACUUCAUUGGUAUUUUUAGUAUUCUAUUGCAAACACUCCUGGCUUUCUGAUGGAACGAAGAAUGAAAAACAGGUUACACAAUGUAAAAAGAUUGAGGGGGGAGGAUAGAACUGGUUCAAUUAUGUAUUGCAUGUUGUUUGUAUUUUUUUU